AGAAUAGUCUACUGUAGCUACUGACGUUACAAACAUGAUUCAGAACUUAGGGAGAGAGAUUUUUAAUUAGAGAAGAAUGAAUUAACUUUUUCAAUGCUAUCUACGAAUACUAUAGUUAAGUUUCACAUUCGAUUUAUUAACUACAAAAAGGAUGAGCAACAGGAAGAAGGCCAAAUGGACACAACAGAGCAUACAUUGAUGGAAAAUAGUAUGGUCUUUGCUGAGGCUGCCAGUGAUCCUGCUGAUUCCAGUUUUGUGUCUUUCACCAGCCCCGCCGUCUCCAGCAAGGGAUCAGCAUCUGACAGUGCGCCAGAAAAAACUGGAAGAUGGAGCGAAAGGAAAUGGAUUGUGAAUGAGUCUAAACUCAUGGAAUUUUCCAAACAUGUCACCAAUGUGGAGCUGUCUUGACUUAUAGAAGAUGAACCACUUUGGGCAGCAAAAUCUAAGUAACAUGGAGUUGUUACAAUAGACACAGCAGAGAAUGUCCUGAUGCAUGCGGAACCAAGGCACAGCGUUUGUUGAGUUCCACAUAUUGAUUUAAAAUUAAACUUCUUCAACCAAAACAAUAAACAAGCAACACAACGUGACUACGUGGUGCAACAAGCACCACCACAAACAAUCAAUAUCCCACAAAGCAAGUGGGAACAGGGAACCCUUAAGUAUGAUCCCCAAUCAGAGACAACAAACAUCAGCUGCCUCUAAUUGGGAACCAUAUUAAGAGCACCAACAUAGAAAUGGAUAAACUAGAACACCCCCUAGUCACGCCCUGACCUACAACACCAUAGAGAACCAAGGGCUCUCUAUGGUCAGGGCAUGACAGACGUACAUGGAAUGUGCUGAUUGGGCCACACUGCUGAACCUUCAGAUGCCCAAGAGAACAGCCUUGUACGAAAUACAGCUAACAUACUUGCUUCCAGUUAUUGAACAUGCAUACCCCGACCAGCAGAUUACAAUCUUGCCGAGCCUGAUUGGAAAUGUGUGGUGAUGGACAGUCCUUGGUUCAGGAGUUGAAGUGCAGGUUCAGGUCAAUGCUCCAUCACAAAUAAAUAAAAUAACAUCUGUGGAGUCUAUCGCUGGGAAGUGGACGGAGUGGAACACCACUGUUACCAUGGAGCGCUAACAGCGGACCAGCAGUGGAAGAAGAGGUAAUUACAGGAAGAUUCACCAACCUUCAAAGCCCUGUACUCUCUGGUCAUGGACAAACGCCUGCAGAAUGAUCUCGAUCAGAUGGGACAGUUCAAGCACACAGGAACACUUGAGGUAUUUCACAGUUCUAUGUUGAAAUACUGUCAAAAGCGUCUCCACUUCAAAGACUACAGCAUGAAAGCCCGUACCCAGUUGACAGUUUUGGACCAGAAUGAGAAUCAGAACCGUAAUAGAGGACAAGCCUCAACCAUUGUUGUCAACGUUGGAUUGCCCGGCCAAUAUACCAGCCCACCAGGAAUGACCUGAUUGAGCGCAUCCUCAUGGACAAAUUAGUGAAAUACUGGGAGCCAAAAUCCUGUGGAAGCGGCUGUCGUCUGGCUGCCAACAGCCCCCAUCCCAAACCCCAGCAAGGAGGUGGUUAUUGCAGCACACACAUCAAGACUCAAGGACACUUGGG
rnacentral:lncRNA from 1 species